ACCAUCCUAAGGUAGCGAAAUUCCUUGUCGGGUAAGUUCCGACCUGCACGAAUGGAGUAACGACUUCCCUACUGUCUCAACCAUGAACUCGGUGAAAUUGCAGUACGAGUAAAGAUGCUCGUUUCGCGCAGCAGGACGGAAAGACCCCGUGACCUUUACUAUAGUUUGGUAUUGGUGUUUGGGUUGGCUUGUGUAGGAUAGGUGGGAGACUGUGAAGCCGUCACGCUAGUGGUGGUGGAGUCGUUGUUGAAAUACCACUCUGGUCAAUCUGGAUGUCUAACUUCGGGCCAUGAUCUGGUUCAGGGACAGUGCCUGAUGGGUAGUUUAACUGGGGCGGUUGCCUCCUAAAGUGUAACGGAGGCGCCCAAAGGUUCCCUCAGCCUGGUUGGCAAUCAGGUGUUGAGUGUAAGUGCACAAGGGAGCUUGACUGUGAGAGUGGCGACUCGAGCAGGGACGAAAGUCGGGACUAGUGAUCCGGCAGUGGCUUGUGGAAGCGCUGUCGCUCAACGGAUAAAAGGUACCUCGGGGAUAACAGGCUGAUCUUGCCCAAGAGUCCAUAUCGACGGCAUGGUUUGGCACCUCGAUGUCGGCUCGUCGCAUCCUGGGGCUGGAGUCGGUCCCAAGGGUUGGGCUGUUCGCCCAUUAAAGCGGUACGCGAGCUGGGUUCAGAACGUCGUGAGACAGUUCGGUCCCUAUCCGCUGCGCGCGUUGGAGAAUUGAGAAAGGCUGUCCUUAGUACGAGAGGACCGGGACGGACGAACCUCUGGUAUGUCAGUUGUACCGCCAGGUGCAUGGCUGAUUGGCUACGUUCGGGAGGGAUAACCGCUGAAAGCAUCUAAGCGGGAAGCUUGUUUCGUGAUGAGUUCUCCUGGCACCCUUUUGGGUGUGUGAGGUUCCCUGUAGAUGACGGGGUUGAUAGGCCGGGUAUGGAAGCGCUGUAAGGUGUGGAGUUGACUGGUACUAAUAGACCGAAGGCUUACAUUA
rnacentral:rRNA from 1 species